ensembl:miRNA
GUAGGGCAAUCUGUCUUUAGGAAGGGAUAGAUUACUCUAAAAGAAAUGAAUCCGAGAUAGUUUUCCCUUCAAUUCAGGCAUGUUGU